AGUGAACGCUGGCGGUAGGCCUAACACAUGCAAGUCGAACGGCAGCACAGGAGAGCUUGCUCUCUGGGUGGCGAGUGGCGGACGGGUGAGGAAUACAUCGGAAUCUGCCCAGUCGUGGGGGAUAACGUAGGGAAACUUACGCUAAUACCGCAUACGACCUUCGGGUGAAAGAGGGGGAUCGCAAGACCUCUCGCGAUUGGAUGAGCCGAUGUCGGAUUAGCUAGUUGGCGGGGUAAUGGCCCACCAAGGCGACGAUCCGUAGCUGGUCUGAGAGGAUGAUCAGCCACACUGGAUCUGAGACACGGUCCAGACUCCUACGGGAGGCAGCAGUGGGGAAUAUUGGACAAUGGGCGCAAGCCUGAUCCAGCCAUACCGCGUGGGUGAAGAAGGCCUUCGGGUUGUAAAGCCCUUUUGUUGGGAAAGAAAUCUUUCAGGCUAAUACCCUGGGAGGAUGACGGUACCCAAAGAAUAAGCACCGGCUAACUUCGUG
rnacentral:rRNA from 1 species